AUAUUGAUAUUGUUAAGAAACUGUGAUGUCUAAGGUAAAAAGUGGAUUGCUUUUUUUUUCUCCCAGGGAAAAAAGACAAGAAGCAGGGAAGAAGGUAGCAAGGGAUGCUGGACAUGGAGUCUAGAGGCUUGGGUUCAGGACUUGACUACAGAUCUCAUUGGUUUUAUGACCCUGGUUAAAUGAUCACCUCAUCCAAGCCUCAGUUUCUUCAUAUGUGUGAUGUCAUGUCUGACUCUUCAUGACCCCAUUUGGAGUUUUCUUGGCAAAGAUGGUGGAAUGGUUUGCCAUUUCCUUCUCCAGUUCAAGGAGAGGACAAUGAGAAAUUUCAUGAUGGAGAAUCACUUUCAACUGGGAGAAUUAAGGAAGGCUUCACAGAGAAGGUGGCAACUGAAUUUGGCCUGGAAAGAAUUGAGACUCUGAAACAGAGACACCAUGGAUGACAAAACAUCAUGAAUUCCAUCAUGAACAGGAUACAGAUUAAGAAGAGUUUCCCUUUAGAUCAUGG
rnacentral:lncRNA from 1 species